rnacentral:rRNA from 1 species
AUUGAACGCUGGCGGCAGGCCUAACACAUGCAAGUCGAACGGUAACAGGAAGCAGCUUGCUGCUUCGCUGACGAGUGGCGGACGGGUGAGUAAUGUCUGGGAAGCUGCCUGAUGGAGGGGGAUAACUACUGGAAACGGUAGCUAAUACCGCAUAAUGUCGCAAGACCAAAGAGGGGGACCUUCGGGCCUCUUGCCAUCGAAUGUGCCCAGAUGGGAUUAGCUUGUUGGUGGGGUAACGGCUCACCAAGGCGACGAUCCCUAGCUGGUCUGAGAGGAUGACCAGCCACACUGGAACUGAGACACGGUCCAGACUCCUACGGGAGGCAGCAGUGGGGAAUAUUGCACAAUGGGCGCAAGCCUGAUGCAGCCAUGCCGCGUGUAUGAAGAAGGCCUUCGGGUUGUAAAGUACUUUCAGCGGGGAGGAAGGGAGUAAAGUUAAUACCUUUGCUCAUUGACGUUACCCGCAGAAGAAGCACCGGCUAACUCCGUG